rnacentral:misc_RNA from 1 species
GAUGAAGAACGCAGCGAAAUGCGAUAAUUAAUGUGAAUUGCAGAAUUUAGUGAAUCAUCGAAUCUUUGAACGCACAUUGCGCCCGCUAGUAUUCUGGCGGGCAUGCCUGUUCGAGCGUCAUUUCAACCAUCAAGCCCUGUUUAGGCUUGUGUUGGGGCCCUGCGGCUGCCGCAGCCCCCUAAAUGCAGUGGCGGGCUCGUUGUCACUCCGAGCGCAGUAGCGUAUCUCGCUCUGGGCGUGGCGGCGGGUGCUAGCCGUGAAACACCCACUAAGGUUGACCUCGGAUCAGGUAGGAAUACCCGCUGAACUUAAGCAUAUCAAUAAGCGGAGGA